rnacentral:rRNA from 1 species
AUGGUGAGGGGCAAGAUUGUGAUUAGGAGGGUUGAGAACAUGAGCAGAAGGCAGGUCACCUUCUCCAAGCGGCGUGGUGGUCUACUGAAGAAAGCACGUGAGCUGGCCAUCCUCUGUAAUGUCCAGGUCGGUGUUAUCGUCUUCUCCUCCACUUGUCGCCUCUACGAGUAUGCCAACUCCACCACCGCCACCACCAUGGGCACGGCCAUGCCUUCCAUGAUUCAAAACUACCAAUCUUCACAAGAGCAACAUCAGCUCCUGAAUCCAGUGUCACAAGUCAUGUUUUGGCAAGGGGAAGUCCAGAAAUUACAGCAGGAAAUGCAGAUGCUUCAAGAACAUCAUAGGAAGCUAAUGGGGGAGAGAUUAUUAAACUUAGGAGUCAAAGACUUAUGUUUAAUGGAAAAUCAGCUGGAGAAGAGCUUACACCGUAUUAGAGAAAAGAAGGAACAAAGUUCCACCAACCAUAUUCUACAACUCAACGAGAAGGGAUGCAUCUUUCAUCAAGAGAAUAUUCGACUCUCCAGGGAAAUAAAGCUUAUCCAUGAACAAAACUUGGAAUUAUAG